rnacentral:rRNA from 1 species
AUUGAACGCUGGCGGCAGGCCUAACACAUGCAAGUCGAGCGGAUGAAGGGAGCUUGCUCCUGGAUUCAGCGGCGGACGGGUGAGUAAUGCCUAGGAAUCUGCCUGGUAGUGGGGGAUAACGUCCGGAAACGGGCGCUAAUACCGCAUACGUCCUGAGGGAGAAAGUGGGGGAUCUUCGGACCUCACGCUAUCAGAUGAGCCUAGGUCGGAUUAGCUAGUUGGUGGGGUAAAGGCCUACCAAGGCGACGAUCCGUAACUGGUCUGAGAGGAUGAUCAGUCACACGGGAAAUGAGACACGGGCCAGACUCCUACGGGGGGCAGCGGGGGGGAAUUUUGGAAAAUGGGCGAAAGCCUGAUCCAGCCAGGCCGCGGGUGUGAAGAAGGUCUUCGGAUUGUAAAGCACUUUAAGUUGGGAGGAAGGGCAGUAAGUUAAUACCUUGCUGUUUUGACGUUACCAAAAGAAUAAGCACCGGCUAACUUCGU